rnacentral:rRNA from 1 species
UACGGGGGAUGCAAGCGUUAUCCGGAUUUAUUGGGUUUAAAGGGUGCGUAGGCUGUGAGGUAAGUCAGCGGUGAAAUGCCCCCGCUCAACGGGGGGAAGUGCCAUUGAUACUGCCUUGCUGGAAUGCGGAUGCCGUGGGAGGAAUGUGUGGUGUAGCGGUGAAAUGCAUAGAUAUCACACAGAACACCGAUUGCGAAGGCAUCUCACGAAUCCGCGAUUGACGCUGAUGCACGAAAGCGUGGGUAUCAAACAGG